GAUGAACGCUGGCGGCGUGCCUAAUACAUGCAAGUCGAGCGAAUGGAUUAAGAGCUUGCUCUUAUGAAGUUAGCGGCGGACGGGUGAGUAACACGUGGGUAACCUGCCCAUAAGACUGGGAUAACUCCGGGAAACCGGGGCUAAUACCGGAUAAUAUUUUGAACUGCAUGGUUCAAAAUUGAAAGGCGGCUUCGGCUGUCACUUAUGGAUGGACCCGCGUCGCAUUAGCUAGUUGGUGAGGUAACGGCUCACCAAGGCAACGAUGCGUAGCCGACCUGGGAGGGUGAUCGGCCACACUGGGACUGAGACACGGCCAAGACUCCUACGGGAGGCAGCAGUAGGGAAUCUUCCGCAAUGGACGAAAGUCUGACGGAGCAACGCCGCGUGAGUGAUGAAGGCUUUCGGGUCGUAAAACUCUGUUGUUAGGGAAGAACAAGUGCUAGUUGAAUAAGCUGACACCUUGACGGUACCUAACCAGAAAGCCACGGCUAACUACGUGCCAGCAGCCGCAGUAA
rnacentral:rRNA from 1 species